rnacentral:tRNA from 1 species
GCGGGAGUGGCGGAAUGGCAGACGCGCUAGCUUCAGGUGCUAGUGCCCAUAAGGGUGUACGGGUUCAAGUCCCGUCUUCCGCA